rnacentral:lncRNA from 1 species
CACAAACAUGUUGACACUGAAGAAAGACAACAUCUUGACUGACAGCACAGUGGACGGUUGCAUCUGCUCCCAGAAUUGAAACCACUUUGACAACCUUUGUCCA